CAUCACCAUUUUUUUAACUUACAAACCAUUUUUCCAAACUGAAAAUGAAAACCCUAGAUCCCAAAAUUUCACCACUUCUGUUAUAAAGCGCUAAUUCGUCCAUCAAUUCACAAAAUUCCGAUCAUAUCGCGGAAAAACACAAAUCCGGUGGUUCGUCACUCAUCCAGUGCAGCUUUCAACGGUCAGUUUCGCGGUCCGGUAAGUUUUAUCGUCCACAAUCUCAUCGUCAUCGUACCCCGCAUUCUAUUCUCCGGCAAGAUCCGCAUCUUUGACAAGAAUCACCGUCACACGCAACGUUACGUGAUGGCUUCUCCGUCUGUUUGUUUCUCGAUCAAUCACCAUCACACAUCCCCUAACCGUACGAUUGCGUCCAUGUUCUAGUUUAUUGUUUACUUUUUAGUGUAUUUAAGCUAGUUGAAUUAGGAAGGAGUGAAAACAGAAAAUCGAAGUAAAACAUUAUCUCUUCUUCAUCUUGUAUUCUUGGAGUCUAACCCGCUCAAAAGGGUCUCUAUCUUAGGAGAUUGGUUCAUCUCGAAUCGAACCCCAUCAUUUGGUGCUUUCAUUCUCGAUCAUCAUGCCUCCCCGUACGAGCUUCGAAGAAGGCGUCACGACCUUAGUCGACAUAUAGUCAACCGGCUAAUGACCCAACAACAAGCUAUUGCCGUCCAACAAGCCUCACACCACCAUGUCGAUGCUUGACGCCAUGUGGUGUUUUCUCGCGCAACAACAACGUCUGCUUUUUGCGCUUUACUCGGCCUAGAACCUCCACCUCCGCUUCCCGUUCGACCGCUACCCGCAACAGCCGUCACCAUAAAAGACCCAAAAAACUCACAUGCGCCCCCACCAACACUGCUACAAACAUCACCACCAAACCAGGUAAUGGUACCAAGCCCGCCACAAAUCCCGUUACCUAAACCAACGACAUCCUUUGAACUAUAUGAAAGACCAACCGGUGCAGACGCCACACCAUCAACAGCACCAACAGAGGAGCCGAAACAAGCACCGGUUAGUGAUACUCUUUUGAUCCGUUCUGUCAAAAGGAUUAAUCCUAAUCAAUUGAGUAUCAAAGUUCAUUUAUUCUGGAAGCAACUUUCACUUCGUGCAUCCAAGGAUUUCUCAAAGAUAAGGAUGGACAUGUUCACGGAAAUACCACCACAACCAGCAGGGAAAGGCGAAAAAAGAGACUAUGCAUAAUAAGGCGAAGAAAGAGACAUGCUUGAUAGGAUGGCACGCAUUGAACCAAUGUUAAAAGUUAGGUCUUCCAACAUUUAAUCAUUGAGUUAGGUGCUGUUUGUUGGGUAGGCAAGGCGGUGUGGCUGUGAUGUUUAGCGUGUUAUUGAAGACUUUGUUGACGGAGAGAAGACUUGAGUUGGCAGUUGAUGAACGGGCAUAUUGAACUUGCAUUGUGACCUCUUUUCCAAUGGCUUGAAAUAGGGGUUCUAGUGUUUCAUAACGGUCUGCGAAGCCAUGCUGCAAGAUCAUGUCUCUGCAUUGGAUGCCGAUUGCCUCGUCAAAAAAGGUUGCCAUGGUAGGAGUUGUGUUGUCUGUGAUUGUUGCGGACACGCAGUACCUGUAAUUAAUUAUUAAUUAGGAUAUAUGAUUUCUUGUUUUUGUUUUUUGUGUUGUAUAUUUUUUUAGUCUUACAUGAAUUUUGGUUUCGGUAGGUUUUGGUGGCUACCACACGACCAGCCUCUUUUUGUUUGGAUUAUUUUUCUUGGGCAUUGUGGGCACAUUGUGUAGUACCAUGGCCGGCCUUUGAUGUAAGCUGUGAUUGAUGCUUUGCAACUGAAUGUUUGCCCCUAUAUC